rnacentral:misc_RNA from 1 species
AGCAUCAAAAUCUUCAUCAACAAGAAUCACAUUGGAGCAUAUGUUUUGGUGCAAGAUUGAAGGCUGGCACCCAUGAUGAAGCCAUGCUAGACCCCUAGCAGCACCCAAGCCAAUUCUGAAUCUUGUUGGCCAAUCCAAUAAGGUACCAUUUCCAUGAAGUAAAGCAUUCAAAGUCCCAUUAGACAUAUGCUUAUAAACCAAAAGCUUCUCAUCCUCCACAACACAAAAACCCAAAAGGGGUGUCAGAUUUGGAUGUCUAAGCUGUCCCAGCUGAUUCACCUCCAAGCGAAACUGCUUCUCACCAAGCUUACAAGUGCUAAGACGCUUGAUUGCGAGUGCAGAUCCAUCAGGAAGAACUGCCUUAUAUGUAGUACCCGUCCGGGUAGAAAUUAUGAUAUUCUCAGGACUAAAAUUGUUAGUAGCUGCCAUUAAAUCAGCCAAUUUAACCUUAACA